rnacentral:rRNA from 1 species
GCUCAGAACGAACGCGGGCGGCGUGCCUAACACAUGCAAGUCGAGCGAGAAAGCCCGCAAGGGUGAGUAAAGCGGCGCACGGGUGAGUAACACGUGGGUAAUCUGCCCUAGAGUCCGGAAUAACUCGCCGAAAGGCGUGCUAAUGCCGGGUGAGACCACGGGAGCCUCGGCUCUCGCGGGAAAAGGUGGCCUCUGUACACAAGCUAUCGCUCUAGGAUGAGCCCGCGGCCCAUCAGCUCGUUGGCGGGGUAAUGGCCCACCAAGGCUACGACGGGUAGCUGGUCUGAGAGGACGAUCAGCCACACUGGAACUGAGACACGGUCCAGACUCCUACGGGAGGCAGCAGUGGGGAAUCUUGCGCAAUGGGCGAAAGCCUGACGCAGCAACGCCGCGUGUGUGAUGAAGGUCUUCGGAUCGUAAAGCACUGUCGCGAGGGACGAAUAAGGGGCGGGUUAACAUCCCGUUCCGAUGACGGUACCUCGAGAGGAAGCACCGGCUAACUCUGUGCCAGCAGCCGCGGUAAUACAGAGGGUGCGAGCGUUGUUCGGAAUUAUUGGGCGUAAAGCGCGUGUAGGCGGCCUUGCAAGUUGGGUGUGAAAGCCCUCGGCUUAACCGAGGAAGUGCGCCCAAAACUACGAGGCUUGAGUGCCGGAGAGGGUGGCGGAAUUCCCGGUGUAGAGGUGAAAUUCGUAGAUAUCGGGAGGAACACCAGUGGCGAAGGCGGCCACCUGGACGGUAACUGACGCUGAGACGCGAAAGCGUGGGGAGCAAACAGGAUUAGAUACCCUGGUAGUCCACGCUGUAAACGAUGAGCGCUAGGUGUUGUGGGUGUUGACCCCCGCAGUGCCGCAGCUAACGCAUUAAGCGCUCCGCCUGGGAAGUACGGCCGCAAGGCUAA